GCGGAGAAUUGGGAGCUUGCUCCCGAUUCUUAGCGGCGGACGGGUGAGUAACACGUGGGCAACCUGCCCUGCAGACUGGGAUAACUCCGGGAAACCGGAGCUAAUACCGGGUAAUACAUCGCACCGCAUGGUGCAAUGUUGAAAGUUGGCUUUCGAGCUAACACUGCAGGAUGGGCCCGCGGCGCAUUAGCUAGUUGGUAAGGUAAUGGCUUACCAAGGCAACGAUGCGUAGCCGACCUGAGAGGGUGAUCGGCCACACUGGGACUGAGACACGGCCCAGACUCCUACGGGAGGCAGCAGUAGGGAAUCUUCCGCAAUGGACGAAAGUCUGACGGAGCAACGCCGCGUGAGUGACGAAGGCCUUCGGGUCGUAAAGCUCUGUUGUUAGGGAAGAACAAGUANCGUUCGAAUAGGGCGGUACCUUGACGGUACCUAACCAGAAAGCCACGGCUAACUACGUGCCAGCAGCCGCGGUAAUACGUAGGUGGCAAGCGUUGUCCGGAAUUAUUGGGCGUAAAGCGCGCGCAGGCGGUCUUUUAAGUCUGAUGUGAAAGCCCACGGCUCAACCGUGGAGGGUCAUUGGAAACUGGAGGACUUGAGUGCA
rnacentral:rRNA from 1 species